UACGUAGGGUGCAAGCGUUGUCCGGAAUUAUUGGGCGUAAAGAGCUCGUAGGCGGUUUGUCGCGUCGAAUGUGAAAACCCGGGGCUCAACCCCGGGCCUGCAUUCGAUACGGGCAGACUAGAGUUCGGUAGGGGAGUCUGGAAUUCCUGGGUGUAGCGGUGAAAUGCGCAGAUAUCAGGAGGAACACCGGUGGCGAAGGCGGGACUCUGGGCCGAUACUGACGCUGAGGAGCGAAAGCGUGGGGAGCGAACAGG
rnacentral:rRNA from 1 species